GGGCUGAUAGCUCAGCUGGGAGAGCGCCGCGUUCGCAAUGCGGAGGUCGGGAGUUCGAUCCUCCUUCGGUCCACCA
rnacentral:tRNA from 4 species